GCAACCUCUUUUUUUUUUCGUAUUUCGCGUUUUGAGGUCGGAGUGUUUUUCUGAGCUCAGUUUUCCUGCUUGAAUUGUUUUGAUGAAAAUUGUGUGAUAAGUGUGUCCGGUAAGUUGGUCAAUGUGAACCCUCCUGUUCUGAUCUAGAAAAAUCCUCGGUGAACACAACAAUUAAAAAUAAUUAAAGCACUUUUUAAGUUUUUAUUUCCUUUGAUAAAUUUCUUCUGCCGAUUUACUAAAGAAUACAAGCGUCCUAGUAAACAUUUUAUUUAUUUUAAUAGACAAGAAAAUAUACUUGUCCAAUCCUACUACAACCAGGGAUUCAUGAAAAAAAUCAAUUUUUUUUUUUGUGUUACAAGAACACAAGAAUUUAGUUGGGAUUCGAGUCAAAGACAAAAUUACAAAAAUAUUGGUUUCCAAGUCGAAUUAACCCUAAACUAGAGACAUGGUGAAGAGUAAUGACAAGCACAAUAAAUCUUAACGAUUUUGUAUUGGAAGGUGAUGAAAAUGGCACUCUUGUUGGCAAGAACGACUAUGUUUUUAUAAAGAGUACGAAAAGUUACGAGACGUUUUUUGAAAGAACCAUUUUACAAUGUUGCCGAUUUUUAUGGAUUUGGGGAGUUGAAUCUACCAACAGAAAUUUCUCAGAGAGUCAGAGCAGAGUUUUCUACAUCUCCUUUUGCCCUUCUGGAGGAGGAACAUAAAACAAAAAUGGUAUCGUUAGAUGUGGAAAAUCCUAAACUCAAUAACUACAAUAACAUUUUAGUCUUUAAAUGGGACGAAGAGCAAACGAGAUUUAUGCUUCAAAUAUAUAAUAAAUAUAUCACUUGUGUAGGCCGAUUCAAAAAGUUUCGGACAAAAAAACUGAUGUGGUCCUACUUAGCUAAGCAAAUUGAGGGCAAAUUUAAAGUUCACCUUACCGCAAAGCAGGUCGAAACUCGACUAAAAUGCGUUAAAAAACGGAGAAAAAAGGGAAGCGGGGUGCACCGUAAAGUAACCGUCUACAAUGACGACGAUGAGUUAGAUGAGCAAGACAGAGACACACAGGAAGAUAAUGAUGACUCGAAGUCAUUGGGUGGAGAAAGAUUUUUCGAAACAUUUGAAGAGAUCAGUGCGAGGCCUGAUCCUGAUCCUGCUGCCAUUGCAGUGUCGCCGUUACAUUGUUUAUCAUCGUCAGCGGCAGAAGCAGAAGACGGAAAACCAUGUUUUACAGCACUUCCCAAGUCUUCGUCAAAAGACAUACAACAGAAGCUGUUGAACCAGAAGAACGAUUUCUUUCUCAAAUACUUUGAGAUGAAAGAUCAUAGAGAAGAGAACAAAAUUAAAGAAAAGCGCAGGUACAAUGAAGAAAAGCUAAAAAUCUUGGAUAGUAUGGUAGCAGAGAAUAAAAGGAAGACAAAAACACAAAAAACGAUAAGGCAAUAAAAGCAACUUUUGUACCUUUUAUAAAUACUUGAAUUUUAAAAUUACACUAGUCAGCAAAAUUUAACUUUUUUUUUUGCCACAAGAAUCAAGAUAUUUUUUUCUAGAGGUUUUUGAUGUAUACUGAACUCGAAUCUGAAGUCACACAAUUUUUGGCUGUUUUCGAGGUUAUGUUUUUAUGUGGGGUAACGGUGAUUAUGAGAACAGCUUGUUUUCUUCUGUUUCAAUCUUCCCCAUAUGUUGUAUAAUAUUUAUAAAUAUGAGCUACUGUACUUAAUUUCUACUUUAACUAAUCAUAUAAAUCUAGUUAUCAAUUGUUUUAAUACUUUUCUGUUUGUCAAAAUAAAUAUUAUUAGUUUUUCAUUUAAAUUAGAAUAAAGAAGUUCAUUAUUUUUUAAAGAAA